AUAAGCCCCGGAUCGCCAUAUCCGCAAUACGAGCUGCCUUUGAAACAUCUGACUGCUUUUUUCAAUUUUUUUCAUCAUCGAAAACCUUAAUUCAGAUCCAUUUCACUUCUACAAUCUCUCAAAGAUUUUCACAAGCAGAUCUGGGAAAGGAGUGUUUUUGUGUUAACUGUUAAAGGCAUCAUCAAAACCAUCCAUCAAGGGUAGUUCAUUUCUGACAGUGCUCAAUCAAUCAUCUAUGUUGCCUUCUCUUUCUCUCUCUAGCUUGUAAUUCCAAGUAUAGUUAGAGAGAGAGAGAGAGAAUGAGUCAGUUGUUCGAAUACUUCGUGGUGUGUGGAAUUGGACCGGAGAUUCGUACGCUGGAUGGUGAAAAAGGGUUUCAUGGGACAGGGGUUUUCUAUUUGGCUUCUCUCCUUGAUCAGUACCCUCCUCCUACUCACAUGCUUUAUCCUCCUCCCCCGCCCCAGCUUCCCACAUGUGUUCUACCUGCUGGCGUGGAAUUCUACACAAGUGGGUUUGAUUCCAGGAAUGCAUUAUCUUUCCCACGCAGUUAUCCUAUUGUUUUAACUGACCUGCAGAUCUAUUCUAUUCAGUGUAUAAUGUUGUCUACACCGAAAAUGACAGAGGGUGAUGGUUCUAAGAUUUAUGUCAGUUGCAUUGCUUUUCGUGAUCCUGUUUGUGAGGAUAUUGCUGAAGCUUAUCACAUUCCGGCAAAUUCAUUUGCUGACAAAUGUAUAUGUCUGGUUUCACGCGCUCCCAGUUUUCACAUCCUUCGGGAAGUACUAGAGGAAAUAUAUCUACUUUGCUUUUCCUCAAAUGGAAGUAGCAAGCCAUUAUGGGAUGCUAUCGCAUAUACUGUGUCCAAAGUGCCUUUGCCUACUCCUGGAAAAGAACGGGUUCUCUUUGCAAUUGAGAAUAGCUUGCUUUCGGUUGACUUUCCACCAAAGGAUGGGCUUCCUCACGCUGAUAUAUCUUUUCAACCGCUGGUGCAGUGCCUGGAUGUCGACAAUUUCAUUAAACUGUUUACAGCUGUGUUGAUCGAGAGGAGGGUUUUGCUUCGAUCAAACAAAUACUCUCUAUUAACACUUGCUUCCGAAGCUAUAUGCCAUUUGAUCUACCCGUUCCGUUGGCAGCAUGUCUACAUUCCGUUGCUAUUUUUCAGUGGAGUAGACUAUAUUGAUGCUCCUACACCGUAUAUGAUGGGACUUCAUUCAGGUGUUGAUACUACUGGUCUGUCAAUGGAUGGUGUAGUGGUUGUUGAUCUUGAACAUAAUUGCAUCACCACCAACGAGGAAAUUCCUCCCAUCCCAGAGCCAGAAAUGAGUUCUUUACGUAGCGAUAUUCUGAAGUUAUUGCAUCCUAAUGUUGUUUGGAUAGACUCACUGAAGUCUGAUCUUGAGUCGUAUGAGCAAUAUGCAAGAUUUAAUAGAAAGGCUUGGUCACCAGAGAAUGAUGUUCAGCUCAGAAUCAUUUUUCUCAAGUUCUUUGCUUCAAUCUUGGGAGGCUACCGCAACUUCAUAGAAAAUACUGCAAAUCAAGUGUUCAACACUCAAGCAUUUCUGAAGAAGCGUUCGCGGGCAACUCACCAACCAAUAGAUGAGAUGGUAACUCAGUUUCUGGAAUCUCAAGGAUUCUUGGAUUAUUUAGAAAGAGGUAUAGGUUCUAGUGAAAACGGUAGUAAUCUUCUUGAUAAGUUGCAAGAUGCAAUUGGGCGAGGUCAAGAUCCUCUUUCUAUUUUGCCCUCAGCCUCAGCAGAGCCUGAGAUUAUAACUAUAUCAGACCCUGGUCUGGGAAUAUCAGGAUCUGGUACUAGAUAUACUUAUGACAGGUUCCCUUCCAACUAUAGAUCAGAAGAGCAGGAGGAAAAAAGGAAGCAGAUACUGUCAGCAGCUAGUGGAGCUCUUGAAUAUGCCAUAAAGCAUAAUCCUAGUUCACCUUCAAUGUUGGAUGGAGAGUCCAAAGGAGAAAGUCUAAGUCCUAGAGAGAGGGCUGCUGAACGGGAGCGCAUGGUCUUGGAUAUUAAAGUGAAGCUGCAGGGUCUAUGGUUACGUCUUUUGAAAUUGGGAGCGACUGAUGAUCCUCUUUCAUCAUUUGAAUAUGGAACAAUCCUUGCUUUGAUAGAAAUUGAUGCAGAGGGAAUUGGUGGUAGUGGCUUUGUUGAAUGUAUAAGGGAACAUAUUCACUCGGGUUGGCAAGGUCAAUUGACUGAAGAGCAGUUCAUUGCAGUGAAAGAACUGCUAAAAACGGCAAUCACUCGUGCUACAUCGCGGAAUGAUAUAGCAACUAUUAGAGAUGCCCUUGAGGUUUCAGCUGAAAUGUACAAGAAAGAUAGGAACCAUGUUUCUGAUUUUGUUCAGCGACAUCUACGUUCUCUUUCCAUCUGGGAGGAGUUACGCUUCUGGGACGUAUACUUUGAGUAUCUAAUGGAAUGUUUUUCAAACAAGUCAACUAACUAUGCAGCAUUGGUGACUGCACAGCUAAUCAUUUUGGCCACUCACAUGGCUGGAUUAGGUCUUCCUGACACGGAUUCAUGGUAUAUCAUCGAAACAAUUGCAGGGAAGAACAAUAUUGGUUACAGUCAUAUUAUAAAGCUUAGGGGAUAUAUGUCACAUAUCCAGCAACUAUGUAUUGGUUAUUGGGGUAUUUAUUCAGUCAAGUCUCAAAGUAUCUCGUCUUUAUCAUUGCCCUCCCCACGCCCACAAGAUGUUACAACCGACAAUCAACAACCUGCGGAGGCUUCUGGUAGGAGCUGGGUCCAGAGUAUGUUUAGCAGGGAUACUACUUUAAGGACCAACUCAUUCACUCGUGUCCGUAAGUGGACGUCUGACCAUGCUAAAAGUGAGAGUGGUGCUACUGGGCAACAUAAACUACAAUCUAGCAUACGGACACUUAGGGGCCAUAAUGGUGCAAUCACUGCAUUGCAUUGUGUGACACAAAGAGAAGUUUGGGACCUGGUAGGUGACCGUGAAGAUGCAGGCUUCUUUAUAAGUGGAAGUACAGACUGCACGGUUAAGAUUUGGGAUCCAAGUCUUCGUGGUAAUGAACUCAGGGCAACUCUAAAGGGACAUACAAGGACUGUCAGGGCAAUCAGUUCUGAUCGAGGAAAAAUUGUAUCAGGAUCUGAUGAUCACUAUGUGUUUGUAUGGGAUAAACAGACAACACAGCUUCUAGAAGAGCUGAAGGGCCAUGAUGCUGAGGUUAGCUGUGCUCGCAUGCUAUCUGGUGAGCGUGUGCUGACUGCAGCAUAUGAUGGAACAGUAAAAAUGUGGGAUGUAAGAACCGAUACCUGUGUUGCUACUGUGGGUCGUUGCUCCAGUGCUGUCCUUUGCAUGGAAUAUGAUGACUCUACCGGUGUGCUGGCUGCCGCUGGGAGAGAUGCGUAUGGUUGCAAACAUAUGGGACAUCCGGUCUGGUCGACAAAUGCACAAGCUUUUAGGACACUCCAAAUGGAUCAGGUCGAUAAGAAUGGUUGGGGACACUGUAAUCACUGGCAGUGAUGAUUGGACUGCCCGAAUGUGGUCAAUUUCUAGAGGAACAUGCGAUGCUGUAUUGGCUUGCCAUGCUGGCCCAGUUCUUUGUGUAGAGUACUCAAAGUCAGAUCGAGGAGUAAUAACUGGUUCAAGUGAUGGGCUGGUGAGGUUUUGGGAAAACGAGGAUGGAGGAUUAAAAAGUUCGAAAAAUGUUACGAUUCAUACUGGUGCUGUUCUUUCGAUUAAUGCUGGAGAGAAUUGGUUGGGAAUAGGAGCUGCUGAUAAUACCAUGUCUCUCUUCCAUCGCCCUCAAGAAAGACUUGGUGGAUUCUCUGGCACUGUUUCAAAGAUCUCAAGCUGGCAACUCUACAGAACACCGCAAAAAGCAGUAGCAAUGGUAAGAUGUGUGGCUUCAGAUCUUGAAAGGAAAAGGAUAUGCAGCGGUGGCCGCAACGGACUGCUCAGACUGUGGGAUGCAACCAUCAAUAUCUAAGAAUCUAAAUGAGGUCAGUUUGCAUUGUAUCAUCGACCAAUCUUCAUUUUUAUAGAUAAUAGAGUCCAACAGAUUAGCUAUUUCCUCCACUGUUGUUGUUCAAGGCUUGUAGUUGUAUUGUUUUUGGAAUUUAUCUUUGAUUUUUGAGAGACAAGAAUGAUCCUGGGGUUCAUAUUAUUAUUAUUAGGGAAUGGAAAUGUACUACUUUGCUUCC